ACAUCCAGAGAAUUUAGCAGAGAUGCUUUAGUGCCUUCGGGAACUCUGAGACAGGUGCUGCAUGGCUGUCGUCAGCUCGUGUUGUGAAAUGUUGGGUUAAGUCCCGCAACGAGCGCAACCCUUAUCCUUUGUUGCCAGCGCGUAAUGGUGGGAACUCAAAGGAGACUGCCGGUGAUAAACCGGAGGAAGGUGGGGAUGACGUCAAGUCAUCAUGGCCCUUACGAGUAGGGCUACACACGUGCUACAAUGGCGCAUACAAAGAGAAGCGACCUCGCGAGAGCAAGCGGACCUCAUAAAGUGCGUCGUAGUCCGGAUUGGAGUCUGCAACUCGACUCCAUGAAGUCGGAAUCGCUAGUAAUCGUAAAUCAGAAUGUUACGGUGAAUACGUUCCCGGGCCUUGUACACACCGCCCGUCACACCAUGGGAGUGGGUUGCAAAAGAAGUAGAUAGCUUAACCUUCGGGAGGGCGUUUACCACUUUGUGAUUCAUGACUGGGGUGAAGUCGUAACAAGGUAAGCGUAGUGCU
rnacentral:rRNA from 1 species